AUUGAACGCUGGCGGCAGGCCUAACACAUGCAAGUCGAACGGUAACAGGAAGAAGCUUGCUUCUUUGCUGACGAGUGGCGGACGGGUGAGUAAUGUCUGGGAAACUGCCUGAUGGAGGGGGAUAACUACUGGAAACGGUAGCUAAUACCGCAUAACGUCGCAAGACCAAAGAGGGGGACCUUCGGGCCUCUGGCCAUCGGAUGUGCCCAGAUGGGAUUGGCUAGUAGGUGGGGUAACGGCUCACCUAGGCGACGAUCCCUAGCUGGUCUGAGAGGAUGACCGGCGACACUGGAACUGGGACACGGACCAGAGUCCUACGGGAGGCAGCAGUGGGGAAUAUUGCACAAUGGGCGCAAGCAUGAUGCAGCGAUGCCGCGUGUAUGAAGGAGACCUUCGGGUUGUAAAGUACUUUCAGCGGGGAGGAAGGGAGUAAGGUUAAGACCUUGGCUCAUUGACGGUAACCGCAGAAGAAGCACCGGCUAACUACGUG
rnacentral:rRNA from 1 species